rnacentral:lncRNA from 1 species
CUCUCUCUCUCUCUCUCUCUCUCUCUCUCUGUCUCUCUCUCUCUAUCCCAUUGCUGUACUCUGUCCUUCUCACUUUCUUUCUUUAAUAUUCCUCUCUUUUUUUCUCCUCAAAACUGGCAUGUUAAAAACCGUUGCUGUUAAAAUGAGUACUUGCCUUUUAAAAAUCUUCAAGUUGCUAAGCAGCAUCUGCCCCCUCCUUCCCCUUUUAUGUAGCCCGGUUGCCAUAGUAUCACUUGAGCAUGGUAACAAGAAGCAAAGAGCAAUCAUUUUUCACUAAAUAGGGCCGGGCAGACAGAUAAACAUGCUGAAAUGUUUCCUUACAACCCAUCUCAAGCAGGGGGAACUGCUCUAAGCCCGCAGCUCACGAGUUCAGGCACCUGAUUAUCAACAACACAAACGAACUGGGCAGGAAGUGGAUGUGACUCUCCCUUUGACUCAUGGGACCGGGAUGGUCCAGGGGCAAGGAGCACAGGCAAGGCUUGACUGCUGGUGAAGACAUCACAGCGUUUCUUGAUGGGCGCUUUUCCCAGAGUGUCCUCCUGCCUCCCAGCCGCAGAGGGCCUUCUUCCUCUGUGUCUGACAGUUUCUUCUCUUUCUCCCUCCUGCUGGAAGCCACUUCAGCAUGAAGAGCAUGGCUCCUCAGAGCACUCCUAAAGCCCAGGGAAGGAGCUGAAGAGACUUCCUGGUCUUGGCCUUGGCCGAGCAGGAGCCUCAGACAUGGAGGCGGACACUGUCACCCAAAGAACUUCUGACACAUCACUCAGCUCCUCAGCCUGGGGUUUAUUGGUUGCUCUGGGAAAGUCUCAAGGUGGGGAGUAAGGAAUAAAUUCUUAAAGCCCAAU